GGACCCGCACAAGCGGUGGAUGAUGUGGUUUAAUUCGAUGCAACGCGAAAAACCUUACCCACCUUUGACAUGUACGGAAUUUGCCAGAGAUGGCUUAGUGCUCGAAAGAGAGCCGUAACACAGGUGCUGCAUGGCUGUCGUCAGCUCGUGUCGUGAGAUGUUGGGUUAAGUCCCGCAACGAGCGCAACCCUUGUCAUUAGUUGCUACGAAAGGGCACUCUAAUGAGACUGCCGGUGACAAACCGGAGGAAGGUGGGGAUGACGUCAAGUCCUCAUGGCCCUUAUAGGUGGGGCUACACACGUCAUACAAUGGCUGGUACAAAGGGUUGCCAACCCGCGAGGGGGAGCUAAUCCCAUAAAGCCAGUCGUAGUCCGGAUCGCAGUCUGCAACUCGACUGCGUGAAGUCGGAAUCGCUAGUAAUCGUGGAUCAGCAUGUCACGGUGAAUACGUUCCCGGGUCUU
rnacentral:rRNA from 1 species